GUCGAACGAGCUGCGCCUAAUGAUAGUUGAUGCUUGCAUUAGCUUGACUUAAGUUAGCAGCGAGUGGCGAACUGGUGAGUAACACGUGGAUAACCUGCCCAGAAGAAGGGGAUAACACCUGGAAACAGAUGCUAAUACCGUAUAACAACGAAAACCACAUGGUUUUCGUUUGAAAGAUGGCCUUUGUGCUAUCGCUUUUGGAUGGAUCCGCGGCGCAUUAGCUAGUUGGUGAGAUAAAGGCUCACCAAGGCAAUGAUGCGUAGCCGACCUGAGAGGGUAAUCGGCCACAUUGGGACUGAGACACGGCCCAGACUCCUACGGGAGGCAGCAGUAGGGAAUCUUCCACAAUGGACGAAAGUCUGAUGGAGCAAUGCCGCGUGAGUGAAGAAGGGUUUCGGCUCGUAAAACUCUGUUGUUAGAGAAGAACGGGCGUGAGAGUAAUUGCUCACGUCGCGACGGUAUCUAACCAGAAAGUCACGGCUAACUACGUGCCAGCAGCCGCGGUAAUACGUAGGUGGCAAGCGUUGUCCGGAUUUAUUGGGCGUAAAGCGAGCGCAGGCGGUCUUCUAAGUCUGAUGUGAAAGCCUUCGGCUUAACCGGAGAAGUGCAUCGGAAACUGGGAAACUUGAGUGCAGAAGAGGAC
rnacentral:rRNA from 2 species